ACUGCCGCCAUCUUCUUUGAAUUUGUGGAAGUACGCGAUUUCUGGUCUCAUAUUUUCAUCAUUUUUUCCGUGGUGCAAAUUUAAUGCACUAUGGCUGGAGUAAAUGGAGCCGAAAGUGAGAAGAUGGACACGGAUCCGCCAAGCCUUGCAGAAUUGACUACGUUGUUAGAAAAACAUGGAUUAAACCCAGAGGUUAUCAAAAAGAUUGAAGAAAUACACAGAAAAGACCCAGACUGCCUUAAAAGUGAAGAUUUGGACGACCGAGCUCUUGAUGCCCUCAAAGAUUUCCCAGUUGAACAUGCACUUGAUAUCUUGGACCAGUUCAAAGUGUCGUCCUUGGGACACGUCACAAAUAAAAGUUCUUAUCUUUGUGGCGUUAUGAAAGCAUACAGACAAGAAUACAGAGUGCAUAAAAAAGGUCCAGAUGAGGCAAAGAUAAAAAAACUUUAUGAAGUAAUUAAAACAACCUUGGAAAUCUUGGAAAGGACAAAAUAUCCUCUUGAGGUCACAACAGGACAAAGAAAGUAUGGUGGUCCCCCACCAGAUUAUGAUGGCCCAGAACCGGGACCAGGACAAGAGGUUUUCUGUGGGAAGUUACCUAAGGAUGUGUAUGAAGAUGAACUGAUUCCUCUGUUCGAAAAGUGUGGUAAAAUUUGGGAUCUGCGUAUUAUGAUGAACCCCCUUGAGGGCCAAAACAAAGGUUAUUGCUUCGUCACGUUCUGCGAUAGAAAAGGGGCAGAAAAUGCUGUCGCACAGCUGAAUGACUAUGAAAUCCGCAAGGAGAAGAAACUCAAGUGCAAUGUCUCGAUCGCCAAUACCCGGCUCUUUGUUGGUAACAUUCCCAAGGACCACAGUGAAGAACGGAUUAUGGAAGACUUCGGAAAGUUCUGUGAUGGGAUCAAGGAUGUCAUUGUCUACAAGUCAGCUGACAACAAGGAAUGGAAGAACCGUGGAUUUGCUUUCCUUGACUUUGACAGCCAUAAAAAUGCCUCUGCAGCCAGACGAAAGAUACUGAAAAUCCUGGCCAACCCAGCUAAUCCCAGUAAAAAGAAGAUCCCAUGGAAUGCAAUUGUCGAUUGGGCAGAUCCACAGGAGGAGCCUGAUGAUGAGAUAAUGUCAAAGGUGAAGGUCUUGUUUGUCAGUAAUCUCACAAGUGAUGUCACAGAGGAGGUGCUGAAAGAGAAAUUCUCAAAAUAUGGUGAACUAGAGCGGGUCAAAAAAUUGUCAGGUUAUGCAUUCAUCCACUUCGAGAAACGGGAAGAUGCAGAAAACGCAUUGAAGAACGUCUUAAUUGACACGGAAAUUGGUAAAAAUCAAGCCCAAGUAUCACUUGCCAAGCCUCAGUCUGAGAAUGCACAAAAGAAAAAGGAAAUGAGAAAGAAAAUCCGGCAAAGGCCUCCAAUGUUUAUGGGAGGUCCACCAUUCAUGGGCGAUAGAGAUCGAGGCAGAUUCGGACGCGGUCCAUGGGGUGGUCCAGAUAUGUACUCUGACUACAAUAUGUAUGGUGGCUAUGAUCAGGGUUAUGCAGGUGGCUACUUCGACCCCGUCUAUGAUGCCCCAGCAAAUGAUGAUGGUUAUGGCGACCCUAGCUAUGGAUGGGGAUACCGAGGGGGACCCCCAAGAGGCCGAGGUGGCCCACGAGGCGUUGGUAUGCGAGGACCAAUGGGAAUGCGAAGACCUCGUCGGGGAAUGCCUGUUGGACGUGGUCGGUCCGGUAUGCCAGCAGGCCGUGGUGGCCCACCAAUGCGAGGUGGUCGUGGUGCUCGUGGUGGUAUGGGUGCUGGUGAUGCCAAGCCACCAAUGCGGGGAGGAGCGAACUCCAAAAAUUGAUUGGAAAUAACCAAAAAUUAUCAUCCAGCACAAACUAAAAAUAAUUUGGAAUAUGGCCUGAUCACUUCAGUUUCAAAAACAUUGUGCGAUGUGCAGAAACAUUUUUAUUAUUAUUUCACAUUUGAUGGUAUACAUUUUGUGCUUUUGUAGAAAGAAAAACAUUUUGAAAGUUUGCAGCUAUUCAUAUAGUCAUCAAAACUAAAAACUAGAAAAAUUAUGUUUAUUUAGGAUUAUAUAGUAAGCCAGAAUUUGGGCAUUUUAUUUAUGUGAGGAAAAUGCAUUGAGGAAAUAUGUCUUUUGCCAUUGUGCACACUGCUGCAAACUGUCAUCUGUCAGCAUAUGGAGUACUUGGCUUCAUGAUCUGGCUGUUUAGGAGGAACUGGAGGUUGGCGAAAGCUGGUCUUCGCAACAGCGCAAGUCCCAUUGUCAACAAAGAGGAGCCAGUUUUUGUAGGCAUCAUACCCGUCAGAUGAUAGUGUUAUGACGACAGCAGUGGACAACGCAAUAGGACCAUGAGGUAUCAGAAGGAGGAAAUGGAGACAGCCUUUGACAAUCAGCUGUUUGCCUCUAAAAUAAUGCUAGUUACGGUGUUGCCCUUGCUACACAUGGGGUUGUAGCAGGAGUUUGCUACCAGAAAGGAGAACAACAGUUGCCAGUGCCACAUACAUAACUCAGGGACAAUGUACAUAUUGGCAGCUCUUUUAUACUAAGAACCGCUUCAAGAGUGGAGGUCAUUGGAUGAUCCUUAGGGAGCUCAUUUACAGCAUGCACCGGUGCAUGGCUGCUCUUCACACCUCGUAUUGAGUGUGUGCAGGCUAUGGAUCAUCUCGUGAUAGUAGUCGACAGUUGUUAUCAUGGUGUACUAAUAAGGAUACAUGAUUUAACUUGGAUGUGCAGAUCAUGAUCGAAUGGCAGUUAACAUCUUUGAGGAAAUAAACAUUCGUUAAAAAUGUUUUGAAAAGGUUCGGUAAAUUCAACCAACACCUGAUAUUGUUCUCAUCCGAGUGUCAGGCUGAUUGUAGUAAAAGGGAAAAGCUGACUUAAAAUGUUAAAUCAAACUGACAGAACAUAAUUGACGAGUAACUUUUGAAAGCACUCAACUUUUUCGUUUUGGAUCUUGGUCUGUGCGCAAAUGUGAAUUUUCCCCAAAAUUGUUACCUUGUGUACAAAUAAUUCCAUAUUUUGAGAUGAAAUCUUGUAUCGAAACAAAAAAGAUGAGGUGCAAUUGGCACCGGUCGCAGUUGUGUUUGUCAGUUAGAUAUGUUUAGAUAGUCCGAAAUUAUUUCAAAUAAUUGAGACAGCUUUUUGGAACAAAUGCUUUUGAUACUGCGCAUGGACCUUAGAAAAAUGUAUGAAUCUAGUGAAUAUUAAAAAUUGAUAAUAAAUAUUGUAUGAAACUUUUACUUGGCUAAUGGUCAUAUUAUGUAAUUUUGUCAUGAAAGUGUGUUGCACCCAGAGGGUUAUGAAUUAUAUUUUGUAUUUAAUUUGAAAUUAAUAUUUGUGAAUGACUGACUAUUCAUUGCAAACUAUGCAGUGUCAUUUUGGGAAUAUUUUGCCCAAUUACUGUAAACUUGUUCACAAAUUUUGCUGUAGACUGUGUUUACUGCCAAAAUUACAAGAGAUUUUAGCGGGUAAAUGUUGCGAAUAUUACCCGAGUUACAGUAUACUUUUUAAAAAUUCGCCUUCAUGCAUGCAAGCCCUUGGGGUUGGGACUAAUUGUGUUGUUUUAGAUUAGUAAUAGGGAAUAUGAAGCCAAAAGUGGCCAUGGCUAAAUAAGAAAAUACAAUUCAUCUGAUGGCACCUUUUCUGUUCUGAUGGAUUGCUCUGUAUGAGUGUGGAACACCUUCACUGUUUUUUUGUUAUAUUUUACGAAUGAAUUGAUGACAAACUAAAACGAAGCACAAACAGAAAACGUAAUCUAUACAUGUAUGUCAUACUAUUUGAAAAAUCUUGAUUUUUCAAUUUUUUAUCUAAAUUAAGUUUGACAUUGAAAUUUGAUUGUGUUUUCUGUGGAGAUAAAAACCGUGAAUACUUUCUGCUGUAUAUUGUGACUGCUUGUCUAUAUUUUUGUUCUGUAAACCACUGUACGUGUAGUAUGUAAGGAAAUGUGAAUCUAGAUAUUUAUCGAAUACCAUCAAACUGUAAAAAUGUUCCAUGAAUUUCAUGCUAAAGAAUCCAUUGUAAAAUAAAACUGUUCUACACACACAUAUAUUGCGAAUGGGUGUCUUUGCAGUGUCAACUUGGAAGGUUUUGGCCAUUUAACAUGUUUUUUGUAUUGAUCAUGAAACUGCACAUUGCAUUAUAUUAUAGAAUAUAUCUGUUUAAUUUAUUAAAUUCGGUAUGAACCAUGUAUAGGUAUAAUUAUUAUUGAAACGUUUUGAAAGUGACAAUUCAGGCCUAUUAGAAAAUCAUAUUCCAAAUAAUUAAAACAUUUUAACUUGUGUCUAUUUGAGAAAUUUGGAAUUAUUCAAUAAUGUGAAAUUUUACUCAUUUGCUUCAAAUGUACUAGUAUAUUGGGAAAUGUUAUUAACAUGUUGAAAAUUGUAUAAUGAUUUUUUUUGUGUAUUUGCGACCUUGAAAUGAAGAACAACAUUACUGUUCCAGUGAUCUUCUUCCUUGAGAGGAUCUCUCUGAUUCAGUCGGUAUGGUGACAUCAUCAUGUGGUUCUGCCUAGAAGUUUUUGGGACUUUCUUUUGACGAGGGUGGGUUAGAAGUAUUGAUUAUUACUUUAUGCUUACAAAACUUUCGGUAAUGCAUACGUUAUGCUUCGUAUCAUCUGAAAAAUAAAGGUUUCUUCAUACACUUUGAACGUCCUUGCUGGAACCCCCAACAUUUUGAAACCAUUCUAGCUGUAAAUUUCUCUCAGAUUUUAGUUGUUGAUCAAAAAUUGAAGUCCUUGUGUGUAUCUUUGUCCUAAUAUUUUAUUGCAACAACUUCAGAACCAUUUGUUUUGAAACAUUGACAACAAAAGGUUUUGUUCUGACCAAUUCUGUUAGAAAGACAACUCAGGUCUGCUCAGAAUACCAACCAAGUUUGGCCACCUGGGUAUUUUUAGAAUCUCUGUCAAUGUUGACAAUAGGUUAAAUGAAUAAUACAUGUAAUACCUCCAGUAUCCUGCUCCUUGUGACUUGAUAAUAACUAUGAUGAAUUUACAGUAUAAACAUUUCUUUCAUUUGAAAGGUUGGGGUAAAACCUAAAAAAGCAAGGAAUUCUUUUGAAAGUAUUAACUGGGAGUCCCUCAUGUACAGACGAAACGACCCUCAUUAGGAUGUGUUGGUGCAUUAUCACACUUGACUGCUCUUGGUAAUUGGUUCCAUUCAGCGCUGAAUUUCAGCUCUUCCUCCAAAGUUAAUGGUAUUGCGAGUAGACCUGAACAAAUACACAUUACUAGUAUUUGCAAGUGGAGGGGAUAAAACAUACUGCACAAUUCUGACACUGUGUGCUGUUUGUUGGCACAUGUACAGGCUCUUUCUUGCCAGUGGUAACUUGCUAAGCAGUAUUGGUCCUUAUAUCCUCUUCUUAGAAGUUCUGGUUAUCAUCUCCCACAAGCAAUACAAUGUAUCAGCAUGAGGAGACAGAACGAUAGCGAUCGAUCAGCCAGAAUUUGAUAUGCACAACCCAAUUGGGCAAUUGAGAUUUUCCUGGACUGCCUGUGAUCAAACUUCUUCAGACCUUCGCUUGAAUUGGAUCACUUAGUGUAGCCAGGGAAUACAGGCAAGAACAGAAGGGUUAAAUUGGCCACCUUUGGGUGACUAAUAUGCACAGUAAGGGCACUAGGUCAUGUUUGAUUCACAGCUAAAUAUAUUCCUCAUACUAGCUUGUUAGCUGAUAACAUAAUGUAUGUGCAUUGAUGUACAUGAAACAACAUGUCAACAUGCUUUCUAACAACCAGGCCCAGGCUAGUUGAUUGAAAACUAAGAAUUUUGAUACCAGUCUCUACAGGAAAUCUGAAAUAGGUAACUUGUUGCAUGAACUUAAAAGACAGUGAAGUGAUCUGACCUUGACAGGAACGAGAGCUAAAAUAGAAGUAGGUUGAAACUUAGUGCAGUUGUGUGUGAAUCUUUAACCUCCCCUCUGGAGUGCAACAUUGUGUGCAAGCUGUGAUCAUGUGCAUUUAUUGCUGUGAUAAUGUGAAGAUCAUGUCUAGUGGAUGGAUAUACGUUUGGGUUAUGUCGAAUAAAUUGUAUAUCAUGAAAACUGA